CGAGGUUAAAGGCGGGGUGUCGGGUGCGCCCUGGAAGCGUGCUGUGGCUGGUUCGACUCCAGCAACCUCGACCA
rnacentral:tRNA from 1 species